AUACUACCAAUACUACCUUGUCGAUUAACAUCGUUAAUUUUGGUCAGAGUAGUUUGGCUACAAGCGAAUUAUUAUAGUUUUUAAAACUGUGAAUACAAUAAACAAGUUAAAAUAUUUUACAUAAAAACGAUUGCAAAAUGGUCCUAUCAUUGUGGAAAUCUUAAAGUUGUUAUAAUUGCAAUAAAGUUGAAAGGCUACCAUAAUAAAAAAUCGUUCAUAAAGGCACACCAUUAAUCGUAAUUGAAGAUCGGUAGAUAUAAAUGAGAACUCCGCCAUAAGUGUCACUUAAAAUGAAUCCCUCGGAGUUGCGUAUGAUGUGGAUGAGUACUUAUAAUCCAGAGCGCAUCACAGUGGAAGACGCACCAUCAUUUUUUGGUCAUCCCUCAGUAGGACUUUCUGUAAUGGAUGAUUUAUCUUCACAUCAACAAACCAUGGACUUAAAUCCAAUGAUGAGCAUUGUUGGGGGGGAUUUUAGUGGUCAGGCCGCAGCAGCAGCGGCAGCGGCAGCUGCAUUAGGCGUACAACCGGCAGCUCUAAUUGCGACAAAUUCGAACGAUAUUUAUGGUUUAGCACAAGUAGGCGGUUUACAUCAACAAUUGCUUCAACAAUCUGCUGCAGCUGUUUUUCAAAACUACACAGAAGUUGUAGAUGAUGAUGGUACCGGCCACGGCGUGAUAGACGCUGGUAACGGUUCUUGCGGCAAUGUCAGUAUUGUUGACAAAUCAUUGGCUACACAAUAUGUGCAUAGCGAUGAGCCACAACCCAUUUAUGAUCAAUUGGAAGAUGGUAGUUAUGAUGAUGGUCUGGCACCAAAGCAGGAAAUUAUAAAUAUUGAUGACUUUGUAAUGAUGACCGAUUCAAAUUCAUAUGAUGGUACAGAAUUUAUGGCAGAUGAGCGAGAUUUGGCGGAUGGAAGUAGUGGUGGCGUUGAUAUAGCUCAUGCACAUGGUAUGGAUGAGAACGGUGUACUGGUGCCCAUGGAUAGGGGGCACAAAUUGAUAGGCGAUAGUGGCGAUGAGGUGAUGGUGCCCGCCUCCACAUCGGCCGCAUUACAGGCUGCAGCAUCAAGCUCGUCAAGAGGAAUCGGUGGAAGUGGAGGAGUGGGACACCAUCGCUCAUCGCAACGUAAGACACGCAAAAUUGAACCUGUUAACAGACCAGGAUUGGUCUUGAAGACACCAAUAGCAUAUAAGGGCAAUAUAGAUCCAUCAGUUAUACCAAUUCAAAAAGAUGGCAUGGCCGUCUGCGAGCGCUGCGGUGCUAUCGGUGUAAAACACACAUUCUACACAAAAUCUCGGCGUUUUUGCAGCAUGUCCUGUGCCCGUGGUGAGCUUUAUUCAUUGGUUGUCAACAACACUAAAAUGGCCGGUGGUGCGCAGCAACAGCAGCAAUCUAUUUCGAAUUCCCCCAUGCAUGAACACAUUGACGGAGCAGCUUGCAGCAGCAACGGUAAUAGCAACGAUAUACAACAACACGGCACACAAUCUCAACAAUCUGAUAUUGAGUUAGCGCUCCGUGUUGCUCAUAUUAAGAAUUCGAAUUAUCGUUUUCGCAUCACAGACCAAUCGAAAAUCACACAAAUCAACGGUUUUGGCGAGCCAAUCAUGUCUGGCGAUUUGACUGGCGUGGACGGCACUGGAGGAUUGUCUACCGUAAAUACUGAGGAUGGGGCAUUAAGUUUAAAUACUGGCAGUUUAGUUGCCACGCCCAAAGCACUACAAAUGUACCGCGAUGUAUUGCCACAAGAGGACCUGCCGCAAAUACCGAAAUUUGAACGUCUACCAGUUUCCUGCCCGCAAAUGGAAAAGAUAAUUAGUAUACGACGCCGUAUGUAUGAUCCGACUCAUUCGUUUGACUGGACGCUGCGUUUGUCACAUCCCAACUUUUUCGCUGCACCCGUAACUUGCUUCCCCCAUGCACCUGGUUAUGAAGUAUGGGAUAGUAUCGGUAUUGACAUGAAGGUGGAGGUGGAGAACACAGAUUGUGAUAAUACGGAAGUAGUACAGCCGGGUCAAACGCCACAUUCAUUUUGGGUUGCGACGAUUUUAAAUAUUUGCGGUUAUAAAGCUCUCAUGCGUUACGAAGGCUUCGAUGAGCCCACACAUGACUUCUGGGUUAACCUUUGCAAUGCGGAAGUGCAUUCAGUUGGUUGGUGUGCGACCCGUGGUAAACCUCUAAUACCGCCUCGAACGAUAGAGAACAAAUAUAAGGAUUGGAAAGAUUUUCUCGUCGAGCGGUUGUCUGGCGCACGCACUCUGCCCUCCAGCUUUUAUAACAAAAUCAAUGAUAGUAUGCAAUCACGAUUUCGUUUAGGUUUAAAUUUAGAGUGUGUUGACAAGGAUCGAAUCUCACAAGUUCGCUUAGCAACUGUGACAAAAAUUGUAGGAAAACGUUUGUUUUUACGAUACUUUGAUUCGGAUGAUGGUUUUUGGUGUCAUGAGGAUUCACCCAUUAUACAUCCGGUUGGUUGGGCGACUACAGUGGGUCAUAAUUUAGCGGCACCACAUGAUUACUUGGAACGCAUGUUGGCUGGCAGAGAGGCAAUGAUUGAAGUGCAUGAAGAUGAUGCAACUAUUGAGCUUUUUAAAAUGAAUUUCACUUUCGAAGAAUACUAUAUGGACGGCAAAGGCAAUGGUUUUAUGGAAGGCAUGAAAUUGGAGGCCGUUGAUCCGUUAAAUCUUUCAUCAAUUUGUGCAGCUACAGUUAUGGCAGUGCUGAAAUUUGGUUACAUAAUGAUACGUAUUGAUUCUUAUCAACCAGAUGCUACCGGGUCAGAUUGGUUUUGCUAUCACGAGAAGUCACCGAGCAUAUUUCCCGUUGGCUUUUGUGCAUCCAAUAAUAUCACAUUGACACCACCAAAUGGUUAUGACAUUAACACCUUUAACUGGGAAACUUAUUUGCAGGAAACGGGUAGUAUUGCAGCUGGUCAACAUUUAUUUCACCGCAUUGUGCCAAAUCAUGGUUUUCAGGUCGGUAUGAGUCUUGAAUGUGCUGAUCUAAUGGAUCCACGAUUAGUAUGUGUAGCAACUGUGGCACGUAUUGUUGGGCGUUUACUCAAAAUACACUUUGACGGCUGGACGGAUGAGUAUGAUCAAUGGCUGGAUUGCGAAUCGCCUGAUGUUUAUCCAGUAGGUUGGUGUGUGCUUGUAAAUCACAAACUUGAGGGUCCACCAGUGCCGAUACAGGCCACCGCCAAAGUGAACACCAAGGCGAAAAGUCCGAAAAAACGUAAGAAAAAGUCAAUAGCAAAAGGUGGUGAAAUUUCAAAUACAGCUAAACCACGUACAAUCGCUUUGAAAACGAAUCCACAUCUUCCCAAAUUAAGCAUUAAACUCGAACUUAAGCCAGAACAUCAUAAUGCCGCUUUCUAUGAAGAUAAUAAUGAAGAUGAUGAUGAUGAUGUAGAGUAUGAGGAAGACAGUACUAGUCAUCGUUCAGGGCAGUCAACACCGUUAUCGCACAAUGAUGGCAGUCAACAGUCAUUAAUUGAAAAGACAACGAGCACGGUGACUCAGCCGGCGGCGGUAAUGAGAAGCGGCAAUGCAGCUGUAAAGAAAUCAGUUUCACCAGCACCGCCGGUAGUUGGACGCAAGGCCACCAGUUACAUUGGGAACUCCGCCGUUAGUAAUAGCAAGUACAUUCCGCGUCUUAUUGAAUCAUCUUCGAAUGAAAUCAACAACAGCAGCAGUAGUGGUAACAACAGUCAAAACGCGGACCCACAAGCAGACCUUAUACCCGACACAUGGAACGUUUAUGAUGUUUCACAAUUUUUAAGAGUUAAUGAUUGUACGGCGCAUUGUGACACUUUUUUGCGAAAUAAAAUCGAUGGCAAACGUUUAUUACAACUAUCUAAGGAUGAAAUAAUUACGUUGCUCGGUAUGAAAGUGGGACCUGCGUUGAAGAUUUCCGAUUUGAUACAACAGCUAAAAUGUAGAGUCAACCCGGAACAGAGAAGAGAAAAAACGACGAGGUAAAUGAAUUGAGAAGUAAUACGUCGGUAGACUGAAACUAUAUUGAAAUGAAAACAAUUAUUUCGAAAGCCCAAAAGAAAUUAAAAGUAUGGGAAUAAUGUCCUUAUUGGAAUCUUUACAACUUUUUCCAUAGUCCAG
rnacentral:misc_RNA from 1 species